rnacentral:rRNA from 1 species
GGAGCUUGCUCCGGCGGAUUAGCGGCGAACGGGUGAGUAACACGUGAGAAAUCUGCCCCUGACUCUGGGAUAACUGCGGGAAACUGUAGCUAAUACCGGAUACUUUCCCUGGUGGGCAUCCACUGGGGAAGAAAGAAUUUCGGUCAGGGAGGAUCUCGCGGCCUAUCAGCUAGUUGGUGAGGUAACGGCUCACCAAGGCGACGACGGGUAACCGGCCUGAGAGGGUGACCGGUCACACUGGGACUGAGACACGGCCCAGACUCCUACGGGAGGCAGCAGUGGGGAAUAUUGCACAAUGGGCGCAAGCCUGAUGCAGCAACGCCGCGUGAGGGAUGAAGGCCUUCGGGUUGUAAACCUCUUUUAGCAGGGAAGAAGCGAAAGUGACGGUACCUGCAGAAAAAGCACCGGCUAACUACGUGCCAGCAGCCGCGGUAAUACGUAGGGUGCAAGCGUUGUCCGGAAUUAUUGGGCGUAAAGAGCUCGUAGGCGGUUUGUCACGUCUGCUGUGAAAAUCCAAGGCUCAACCUUGGACUUGCAGUGGGUGCGGGCAGGCUAGAGUGCGGUAGGGGAGAUGGGAAUUCCUGGUGUAGCGGUGGAAUGCGCAGAUAUCAGGAGGAACACCAAUGGCGAAGGCACAUCUCUGGGCCGUAACUGACGCUGAGGAGCGAAAGCGUGGGGAGCGAACAGGAUUAGAUACCCUGGUAGUCCACGCCGUAAACGGUGGGUGCUAGCUGUGGGCCACAUUCCACGUGGUCCGUGACGAAGUUAACACAUUAAGCACCCCGCCUGGGGAGUACGGCCGCAAGGCUAAAACUCAA